rnacentral:tRNA from 1 species
CAUCACAUAAUGUGUAAAGGUGAUAGACGGCCUAGUUUUACUUCUGAAGUACUUCAUAUUGCCUGAAAGAGA